rnacentral:rRNA from 1 species
GGCGUCAUAGAGGUGAGAAUCCCGUCUGUGACCGGUGACCGAUCCCAUGCGAAACCCCUUCGACGAGUCGAGUUGUUUGGGAAUGCAGCUCAAAAUGGGUGGUAAAUUUCAUCUAAAGCUAAAUACUGGCUGGAGACCGAUAGCGCACAAGUAGAGUGAUCGAAAGAUGAAAAGCACUUUGGAAAGAGAGUCAAAAAGUACGUGAAAUUGUUGAAAGGGAAGCGCUUGCAACCAGACCUGUCCGUGGGUGAUCAGCCGCCGUUCUCGGUGGUGCACUCGCCUACGAUCAGGCCAGCAUCGGUUCGGGCGGUCGGACAAAGGCCUUGGGAAUGUAGCUCCUCUCGGGGAGUCUUAUAGCCCUCGGUGCAAUGCGGCCAGCCCGGACCGAGGACCGCGCUUCGGCUAGGAUGCUGGCGUAAUGGUUGUAAGCGACCCGUCUUGAAACACGGACCAAGGAGUCUAACAUCUAUGCGAGUGUUUGGGUGUCAAACCCAUACGCGGAAUGAAAGUGAACGGAGGUGAGAACCCUUUAGGGCGCAUCAUCGACCGAUCCAGAUGUCUUCGGAUGGAUUUGAGUAUGAGCAUAGCUGUUGGGACCCGAAAGAUGGUGAACUAUGCCUGAAUAGGGUGAAGCCAGAGGAAACUCUGGUGGAGGCUCGCAGCGGU